AGUGGCGAACGGGUGAGUAACACGUAGGUAACCUGCCCCUGUAACAGGAAUACUUUCUGGAAACGGAAAACAAAACCUGAUAACAGAGGACAAGGCAUCUUGACCUUUUGAAACAGACAAAAGUCUGGAACAGGGAGGGACCUGCGGCGCAUUAGCCAGUUGGCGGGGUAGCAGCCCACCAAAGCGAUGAUGCGUAGCCGGCCUGAGAGGGCGAACGGCCACACUGGGACUGAGAUACGGCCCAGACUCCUACGGGAGGCAGCAGUAGGGAAUUUUCGUCAAUGGGCGCAAGCCUGAACGAGCAAUGCCGCGUGGGUGAAGGAGGUCUUCGGACUGUAAAGCCCUGUUGCAGGGGGAAAAGGGAAUUAAGAGUGGAAAGCUUAAUUUUUGAUGGUACCCUGCCAGAAAGCCACGGCUAACUACGUGCCAGCAGCCGCGGUAAUACGUAGGUGGCAAGCGUUAUCCGGAAUGAUUGGGCGUAAAGGGUGAGCAGGCGGUCAUACAAGUCUGAAGUAAAAGCGGGGUGCUUAACACUUCGAGGCUUUGGAAACUGUAUGACUUGAGGACAGGAGAGGGCGGUGGAACUCCAUGUGUAGCGGUAAAAUGCGUAGAGAUGUAGAAGAACACCAGCGGCGAAGGCGACCGCCUGGACUGGACCUGACGCUGAGUCACGAAAGCGUGGGGAGCAAAAGGGAUUAGAUACCCUAGUAGUCCACGCUGUAAACUAUUAAGAGCAGGUGUUGGGAGUUAAAUUUCAGUGCGGAAGCAAACGCAAUGACUCCUCCGCCGGGGGGAGUAUGCACGCAAGUGUGAAACUCAAAGGAAUUGACGGGGGCCCGCACAAGCGGCGGAGCAUGUGGAUUAAUUCGAUGCAACGCGAAGAACCUUACCUGGGCUUGACAUGUACCGGAUUGGGCUAGAGAUAGUCUUUCCCUUGUGGUCGGUAUACAGGUGGUGCAUGGUUGUCGUCAGCUCGUGUCGUGAGAUGUUGGGUUAAGUCCCGCAACGAGCGCAACCCUUGUCUUAUGUUGCCAGCACGUUAUGGUGGGAACUCAUGAGAGACUGCCGGGGUUAACUCGGAGGAAGGUGGGGAUGACGUCAAAUCAUCAUGCCCCUUAUGUCCAGGGCUUCACACAUGCUACAAUGGUCGAUACAAUGGGCAGCGACAUCGCGAGGUGAAGCGAAUCCCUGAAAGUCGGCCUUAGUUCGGAUUGGGGUCUGCAACUCGGCCCCAUGAAGUUGGAGUCGCUAGUAAUCGCAGAUCAGCAACGCUGCGGUGAAUACGUUCCCGGGCCUUGCACACACCGCCCGUCAA
rnacentral:rRNA from 1 species